GGCUGGUCCGAAGGUAGUGAGUUAUCUCACUUGAUGUUCAGUCAGUUACAGAUUGGCCUCCUUGUUCUACUCUUUCCCCCCUUCUCAUUACUGCACUUGACUAGUCUUAA
ensembl:misc_RNA Y_RNA Y RNA